rnacentral:lncRNA from 1 species
CAGUCACCCCGGCUUCUGAGAUGAAGAAUAUUAUUGAAGUCAAAUCUGGUGGCUAUCACACUCCAUGGAACUUGGGGCAACAUUUAGGUACCUCUACCCAGGAAAGAAUCUCUGAGAAAUAGGUGGCAGUUUCUCUAGCAGCAUAAGAAGAACCUUGAUAAGCAUCAUCCUUAAGUCCUGACAGCAGUGGAUGACUAGUCAGGAACCUGUCCAGGAGGACAUUGACAUGGAUCUGCCAGCUUUCUAAGACUUUCCCCAGAUUCAAGUCCAGUCACAUCAAGUUGCCUUAUUAAAGGGUCUGCCCACUCAAAAGGAGAAAGUGCAAAAGAUGCUCAGCAAGGAAUAUCCAGCACAAUAAGCAUUGAAGAAACAAAUGGCAACGCAAGCUUAAAGAAUUCCAAGCCAUUAUGAACUGACUCUUCAAAUAAGUGCUUAUUUUCACAUAACCAGGGAGUUUCUGGAUUAACUUCCAUAUAAGACAUAUUUAUUAAAAGAUUUGCACCCCUAUUGCUGGCACUGGGUGGACCUCCCCAAACGCUCUGCCCUUGGUGCUCUUCUGCCGGUUAUUCUCGUCCAUGACCCCAGAGCCAGGGAGAAUCUCACCAGUGCAGCCCAGGGCACUUCUGAUAACAUCUGAGCAGAGUGAAGGAGAAGAAACGCACGAGGCAGGCAUCUCAUUUAUGGAAGUGCUCCUCUGGGUCAAGCCCUCUGCCAAUAAUUUUCAUGCAUAAUGGCCCUUUCAUUCUCCCCAAAAAUUCUUCAAGGGAGGGUGAUAAUCCC